rnacentral:rRNA from 1 species
UGUGGCCUACGGGAGGCAGCAGUGAGGAAUAUUGGUCAAUGGUCGGGAGACUGAACCAGCCAAGCCGCGUGAGGGAUGAAGGUACAGAGUAUCGUAAACCUCUUUUGUCAGGGAACAAAGGCGGGGACGCGUCCCCGGAUGAGUGUACCUGAAGAAAAAGCAUCGGCUAAACCCGUGCCAGCAGCCGCGGUAAUACGGAGGAUGCGAGCAUUAUCCGGAUUUAUUGGGUUUAAAGGGUGCGCAGGCGGGCUGUUAAGUCGGCGGUCAAAACCCGGGGCUCAACCCCGGCCCGCCGGUGAAAAAGG